rnacentral:misc_RNA from 1 species
UCUCCGUAGGUGAACCUGCGGAGGGAUCAUUACAGAGUUCGUGCCCUCGCGGGUAGAUCUCCCACCCUGUGUUAUUGCUACCUUUGUUGCUUUGGCGAGCCGCCCUCGGUUACCGGCCCCGGCUGGUACGCGCCCGCCAGAGGACCCCAAACCCUGAACGUCAGUGUCGUCUGAGUACUAUACAAUAGUUAAAACUUUCAACAACGGAUCUCUUGGUUCUG